UACGGCAACAUCACGUUGAAACACCAGUUCCCGUACGAUCACUGAAGUUAAGCAACGUCAAGCGUGGUCAGUACCUAGAUAGGUAACUGCUUGGGAAUAUCAGGUGCUAUA